GGAGAACAGUUAAUUGGCCUGUCAGACCGCACACCCUCACAGAGGUCACCUCUGACAGCUGGCCUUCCGAGACUAAGUAAACACACGAGUUGUGUGCUCAAGCAGUCAGCAAUCCUCCUGACAGGACGAGAUGCUAAGAAAACCUGCUGGAAAGGAUUGAACUACAGCUGCUGGUUUGUGCCUGCAGAAGGGACUGGACCGAAGCUGCUGGUUCGCAUUUGGUGUUUGCUACGGGACUGAACUGCUGACAAAGAAGACUGAGCUCACCCACCAAGGAAAUAUUGCUAAGACGACCCCAUAUCCUACGGACUCUUCUCUUCCACUAUCUCUGGUAGCUGGUGGGCAAGAGGAGAGAUUGAAUGUCUAUUAAAAUAGGCUGCAAAAGAUUGAUGCCUACACUUGGUUGUCUCUUCAGCGCAAUAAAAGCCCAACUAAGACACAUGGUA